GGGGCUGAUUCUGGAUUCGACGGGAUUUGCGAAACCCAAGGUGCAUGCCGAGGGGCGGUUGGUCUCGUAAAAAGCCGCAAAAAAAUAGUCGCAAACGACGAAACCUACGCUUUAGCAGCUUAAUAACCUGCUUAGAGCCCUCUCUCCCUAGCCUCCGCUCUUAGGACGGGGAUCAAGAGAGGUCAAACCCAAAAGAGAUCGCGUGGAUGCCCUGCCUGGGGUUGAAGCGUUAAAACGAAUCAGGCUAGUCUGGUAGUGGCGUGUCCGUCCGCAGGUGCCAGGCGAAUGUAAAGACUGACUAAGCAUGUAGUACCGAGGAUGUAGGAAUUUCGGACGCGGGUUCAACUCCCGCCAGCUCCACCA
rnacentral:tmRNA from 1 species